CGAUCAACGAAGUUAAGCAACGUUGAGCCUGGUCAGUACCUAGAUGGGUGACCGCUUGGGAAGAACAGGUGUUGUAA